rnacentral:rRNA from 1 species
GGGUUGUGAGGUUAAGCGACUAAGCGUACACGGUGGAUGCCCUGGCAGUCAGAGGCGAUGAAGGACGUGCUAAUCUGCGAUAAGCGCCGGUAAGGUGAUAUGAACCGUUAUAACCGGCGAUUUCCGAAUGGGGAAACCCAGUGUGAUUCGUCACACUAUCAUUAACUGAAUCCAUAGGUUAAUGAGGCGAACCGGGGGAACUGAAACAUCUAAGUACCCCGAGGAAAAGAAAUCAACCGAGAUUCCCCCAGUAGCGGCGAGCG